rnacentral:piRNA from 1 species
UAGAAAGAAGCUUGCUACAGGCUCAGGGUCU